CCUACGGGGAGCAGCAGUGAGGAAUAUUGGUCAAUGGACGAGAGUCUGAACCAGCCAAGUAGCGUGAAGGAUGACUGCCCUAUGGGUUGUAAACUUCUUUUAUAUGGGAAUAAAAUGUUCCACGUGUGGGCUUUUGUAUGUUCCAUAUGAAUAAGGCUCGGCGAACGCCGUGCCAGCAGCCGCGGUAAUACGGAGGAUCCGAGCGUUAUCCGGAUUUAUUGGGGUUAAAGGGAUCGUUGGUGGGUAGUUAAGUCAGUUGUGAAAGGUUGCGGCCAAACCGUAAAAUUGCAGUUGAAACUGGCAGUCUUGAGUACAGUAGAGGUGGGCGGAAUUCGUGGUGUAGCGGUGAAAUGCUUAGAUAUCACGAAGAACUCCGAUUGCGAAGGCAGCUCACUGGACUGCAACUGACACUGAGGCUCGAAAGUGUGGGUAUCAAACAGGAUUAGAUACCCUUGUAGUC
rnacentral:rRNA from 1 species